AACGCAUAUUGCGCCCCUCGGUAUCCCGGGGGGCAUGCCUGUUCGAGCGUCAUUUCAACCACUCAAGCCUGGCUUGGUAUUGGGCAUCGUUGUACUUUAACUCUGUUAUUUAGAGAAGGACAACGUGCUUUAAAUAUAGACAGCGGCAAGUACAAGUUCCGAGCGUAGCAGUAAAACAUUUCGCUUUAGGUAUUUUGUACAUUGUCAGCUAAAUUGUUAGUAAUACUAUCAUUUUGACCUCGGAUCAGGCAGGGAUACCCGCUGAACUUAA
rnacentral:misc_RNA from 1 species